rnacentral:rRNA from 1 species
UUUGAUGGGGAUACCACCCUGAACGCGCCUGAUCUCGUCUGAUCUCGGAAGCUAAGCAGGGUCGGGCCUGGUUAGUACUUGGAUGAGUUCAUUAUGAAUACUUUGGUUAACAACCAGUCACCUACUGAAC